GUCAUAUGCUUGUCUCAAAGAWUAAGCCAUGCAUGUCUCAGUACAAGCCAAAUUAAGGUGAAACCGCGAAAGGCUCAUUAAAUCAGUUAUGGUUCCUUAGAUCGUACCCACAAUUACUUGGAUAACUGUGGUAAUUCUAGAGCUAAUACAUGCAAACAGAGCUCCGACCGGAGACGGAAGGAGUGCUUUUAUUAGAUCAAAACCAAUCGGUGGCGGGCUCGCUCGUCAUCGUACAACUUGGUGACUCUGAAUAACUUUACGCUGAUCGCACGGUCAUCGCACCGGCGACGCAUCUUUCAAAUGUCUGCCUUAUCAACUGUCGAUGGUAGGUUCUGCGCCUACCAUGGUUGUAACGGGUAACGGGGAAUCAGGGUUCGAUUCCGGAGAGGGAGCCUGAGAAACGGCUACCACAUCCAAGGAAGGCAGCAGGCGCGCAAAUUACCCACUCCCGGCACGGGGAGGUAGUGACGAAAAAUAACGAUACGGGACUCAUCCGAGGCCCCGUAAUCGGAAUGAGUACACUCUAAACCCUUUAACGAGGAUCAAUUGGAGGGCAAGUCUGGUGCCAGCAGCCGCGG
rnacentral:rRNA from 1 species